rnacentral:lncRNA from 1 species
CGAACCAAACACCCCUUUAGAGUAUCCCAGGCAUGCCCAUUCUUCCUCCUCGGAGGGUUCCCAAUCCCUCGAUACAUCUCCGGUGGACUGCCGUGGUAUCCCCACGGUUCUGUCGUAGAGAAUGUGGAGGGUUCCCAAUCCCUCGAUACAUCUCCGGUGGACUGCCGUGGUAUCCCCACGGUUCUGUCGUAGAGAAUGUGGUGGGAGGAAGCAAGCUUCGGUGGUGCAACUGAUACACCAGAACCCGGCAGAGGAAGAUAUUGAGAAGUUGAAGAAAUUAAAAGGUACGCAAGCAUCAUUAUUAGUCUGAUGAUGUGCUGGGGAAGAUCGGAAGCAGUUGUAAGGGUGUGUUGAUGGCAAAAUCAAGGUAGAAUUGUGUACGUGAUCUGGAUCUACGAAGUGAAGCAAUUGUUAGAUUGUGAUCACUGGCCAUCUAAGUACCCUUGCAUGGAAAUAAAUUAUGUUUUAUAUAUUUUUAAAUUUCCUAAUGAGGGAGAAGCCCCUCACUUACAGGAGUGCUGUCAAAAGUGGGAACCCAUCGCAAGGCUUAUUCUUGUUUUCACAGGAUUGUUGACUCACAUCUUAUAUGUGAAUGUGGGGAAAGAUCUAACGACUAAUCAUUAUAUUUUGAUUAUUGGAAUGAAAUCCACGAUGCUCCAAGGUAGGAGGCUGUUUUGCCUUGAGCAAAUUUUGAUAUGAUGACAUGGAAAGUGGAAAAUAAUCAAGUCAGAAUCCGAUGGGGAUGUGUAGAGAACUAGAGAUUUAAGGGAUAUUGGACUAUCAUUAAUCAUCAACACUCAGAAAAACAUUCGGGAAG